AACGAACGCUGGCGGCAGGCCUAACACAUGCAAGUCGAGCGAGGACUUCGGUUCUAGCGGCGGACGGGUGGGUAACGCGUGGGAAUGUGCCCUUCUCUACGGACUAGCCCUGGGAAACUGGGAGUAAUACCGUAUACGCCCUAUUGGGGAAAGAUUUAUCGGAGAAGGAUCAGCCCGCGUUGGAUUAGGUAGUUGGUGGGGUAAUGGCCUACCAAGCCGACGAUCCAUAGCUGGUUUGAGAGGAUGAUCAGCCACACUGGGACUGAGACACGGCCCAGACUCCUACGGGAGGCAGCAGUGGGGAAUCUUAGACAAUGGGGGCAACCCGGAUCUAGCCAUGCCGCGUGAGUGAUGAAGGCCUUAGGGUUGUAAAGCUCUUUCAGCUGGGAAGAUAAUGACGGUACCAGCAGAAGAAGCCCCGGCUAACUCCGUG
rnacentral:rRNA from 1 species